CAUCUGUGAAUGGAAGGAUCAACUGAAAUCUCUUCAGCAAGUGUAUGGUAUAUUGCUGAAGCGGGAAAAGGAUCUGGUUUAGGUUAUUGUAUUUGUAAACAAUAGCUCCGCAUAUUUGCAGGAUGGCUCAAGCAGUUGCAGACGAAUCUUGGAAAACUGCCGAAUCCAUUUACGAGUUCACCGUGAAUAACAUCAAAGGUGAACCGGUGUCUCUUGAGGAAUACAAGGGACACGUCUGUAUCAUCGUUAACGUUGCGUCCAGAUGCGGACACACCAAGUCCAACUAUGAGCAACUGGUGCAGCUCCAUGAAGAUUAUGGGGAGAGCAAGGGUUUGAAGGUGCUGGCAUUUCCUUGCAACCAGUUUGGUGCACAAGAGCCAGGCGAUGCUGAGAAGAUAUGCUCCUUCAUUGAGAAUUACAAUGUACAGUUUGACAUGUUCGAAAAGAUCAAUGUGAAUGGACCCAAAGCAGUACCACUCUAUCAUUAUUUGAAGCACACCCUGCCCGAUCCCAAAGCCAAGGGCAAAGGCAAUGCUAUUAAGUGGAACUUCACCAAGUUCGUCAUCGAUCAAUAUGGAAAGCCUGUCAAGAGGUUUGCCUCCAGCACCAAACCUCUAAACAUGCUCAAGACAUUAGAAGAAAUUUGAUUUUAUAAAAUUGUUACAUAUUCGAGUUAUACAACCGCUCUGACGUGUAUGCAUAGAUUGUCCUCUAUGGCUAUACUUCUAAAUGAUUGCUGCGUAACGUGUAUGAGUUGCAUUAAUGAUUAACUGAUGAUUGUAUAACCUUUUAGGCAGCUAUAUAUACGAGCCGAGACAUCUUUGGAUUAAAGCGAGAAUUUCACGUGGCAACUUGCCAAAUAUAUAUUUUCAUCGACUGAGCGUCGUCGUGAGAGUGACAGAUUUGAUUGUUCGUUUCCGGACUUGCACGCUGCAGCAGUUCGUUUGGUAUAAUGUAUGCUAUUUAUAUGAUGAUUAUGAAUUAUCGCUAAUUAUCAGUGGUUGGUACUGGCAUAUGAUGUAGAGUAGUACGUGGUGUACUGGAUGAUCUAGCCGCACUUAUCGUUAUACUAUAAUACUCGUCGGUUGUUGUACUACCUACUACGCACGGCAUUUGUGGUGACUUGCGUUCUGUUGUAAAUCAAAGUAGUGAAGGUAACGC